GUGGAGACACAGAGAUAGAAAGAGAGGUGGAGACAGAGAUAGAAAGAGAGGUGGAGACACAGAGAUGGAAAGAGAGGUGGAGACACAGAGAUAGAAAGAGAGGUGGAGACAGAGAUGGAAAGAGAGGUGGAGACAGAGAUGGAAAGAGAGGUGGAGACACAGAGAUGGAAAGAGAGGUGGAGACACAGAGAUGGAAAGAGAGGUGGAGACACAGAGAUGGAAAGAGAGGUGGAGACACAGAGAUAGAAAGAGAGGUGGAGACACAGAGAUGGAAAGAGAGGUGGAGACACAGAGAUGGAAAGAGAGGUGGAGACACAGAGAUGGAAAGAGAGGUGGAGACACAGAGAUAGAAAGAGAGGUGGAGACACAGAGAUGGAAAGAGAGGUGGAGACAGAGAUGGAAAGAGAGGUGGAGACACAGAGAUGGAAAGAGAGGCGGAGACACAGAGAUAGAAAGAGAGGUGGAGACAGAGAUGGAAAGAGAGGUGGAGACACAGAGAUAGAAAGAGAGGUGGAGACACAGAGAUAGAAAGAGAGGUGGAGACAGAGAUGGAAAGAGAGGUGGAGACAGAGAUGGAAAGAGAGGUGGAGACAGAGAUGGAAAGAGAGGUGGAGACAGAGAUGGAAAGAGAGGUGGAGACACAGAGAUAGAAAGAGAGGUGGAGACACAGAGAUAGAAAGAGAGGUGGAGACACAGAGAUGGAAAGAGAGGUGGAGACAGAGAUGGAAAGAGAGGUGGAGACACAGAGAUGGAAAGAGAGGUGGAGACACAGAAAUAGGAAGAGAGGUGGAGACACAGAGAUGGAAAGAGAGGUGGAGACACAGAAAUAGGAAGAGAGGUGGAGACACAGAAAUAGGAAGAGAGGUGGAGACACAGAAAUAGGAAGAGAGGUGGAGACAGAGAUGAAUGAGCAGAAAAAGAGAAGGAGAAUAUAUGGAGAGAAACAGAGAUGGUGUUACAGAUGAAGGAAUGUGGUGAGUUCUGAGUAGUCUAGCUUUACCCACAACGAUAACCUCUUAUAAAUCGUCAAAAAUCCUAAACCAAGCCAAACACCUAAACCAAGCCACUAAACACCCUAUCUAGACUAAAACUAGAGAACACACCUUGGAAUACUUCUCUUCCUGGAACUCUGGUCAUAAAAUAACACAACAUAUAAUCUGGUGUCGAUUCUUCUGAAUUUUAGCUGAAGAUAGACACCUAGAACAGAAAUGUUUAAGGGAAAACAUCCAUGGACUCCAGUGCAUGAUUCAGCCUAGGUUUUUGUGCAUUUCUCCAGUAAGGUUUCUGCCAUGUGUGUACCCCAGACUGGGGCCUUUGAGACAGACCACUGCAAACCCCAAGCAUGAGCCUGGACUUGCACUGAGAUGACUGACUGUAAUGUCCUGGCCACAUGUUUUAGCGUAGGUUAGGGACAGAUCAACAUUAGCUGGGGAGAGUUGUCAAACUUUUUUUUUUUUGCUUUGGGGAGUGUUGUGGGGUAUUUUAUUGGGCACAUGGGAGGGCAGUGCCAGGUUUAUAUUCAUUUUUUUUGCAGGUUUUAAUUUCUACUUUCUUCCAUCCUAUUCAAAUGUCCUAAUCUGCGUGCAGGCUCCUCCCAUAUAUCAAGGUGUUCUGGUACUUCCCUUAUGCACUACGCUUUUCAGUGCGGUAACUUUUAAUAUACCACAGAUCAAUAUAGUCUACCAAUCUAACUGUCUAUCCUGUCACUUUAUCUACCAUUCAUAGUGACAAUAUAGUCUACCAGUCUAACUGUCUAUCCUACCCUCUAUCCACCAUUCAUAGUGACAAUAGUGGUAGGUGGAUUGUUUGUCUAGAUCUGCAAUAGGCUAACUAGCAUCAUACCACACAUAACAGCAUUCAAUGCUGCAUACAUUUUCAAUAGUAAUCCACAAGAACCAAUAGGAAUAGCUGAUAGAUAGUGGAGAGGCCAGGUGCAUCAUAGCAGCAUGAAAGAACAGUGAAGACAUGAGACCUUGCAGCUCAAAACGCUCCCCUAUUGAUCUUGUUUAGGGACAAUACAAUUAUCCUAACUGGACUAUA